GAUGAACGCUGGCGGCGUGCCUAAUACAUGCAAGUCGAGCGAACGGACGAGAAGCUUGCUUCUCUGAUGUUAGCGGCGGACGGGUGAGUAACACGUGGAUAACCUACCUAUAAGACUGGGAUAACUUCGGGAAACCGGAGCUAAUACCGGAUAAUAUUUUGAACCGCAUGGUUCAAAAGUGAAAGACGGUCUUGCUGUCACUUAUAGAUGGAUCCGCGCUGCAUUAGCUAGUUGGUAAGGUAACGGCUUACCAACGCAACGAUGCAUAGCCGACCUGAGAGGGUGAUCGGCCACGCUGGAACUGAGACACGGUCCAGACUCCUACGGGAGGCAGCAGUAGGGAAUCUUCCGCAAUGGGCGAAAGCCUGACGGAGCAACGCCGCGUGAGUGAUGAAGGUCUUCGGAUCGUAAAACUCUGUUAUUAGGGAAGAACAUAUGUGUAAGUAACUGUGCACAUCUUGACGGUACCUAAUCAGAAAGCCACGGCUAACUACGUG
rnacentral:rRNA from 1 species